rnacentral:rRNA from 1 species
GGCGAACGCUGGCGGCGUGCUUAACACAUGCAAGUCGAACGGAAAGGCCCUGCUUUUGUGGGGUGCUCGAGUGGCGAACGGGUGAGUAACAAGUGAGUAACCUGCCCUUGACUUUGGUAUAACUUCAGGAAACUGGGGCUAAUACCGGAUAGGAGCCCCUGCUGCUUGGUGGGGGUUGGAACGUUUCGGCUGUUGGGGAUGGACUCGCGGCUUAUCAGCUCGUUGGUGGGGUAGUGGCUUACCACGGCUUUGACGGGUAGCCGGCCUGAGCGGGUGACCGGCCACAUUGGGACUGAGAUACGGCCCAGACUCCUACGGGAGGCAGCAGUGGGGAAUAUUGCACAAUGGGCGGAAGCCUGAUGCAGCAACGCCGCGUGCGGGAUGACGGCCUUCGGGUUGUAAACCGCUUUCGCCUGUGACGAAGCGUGAGUGACGGUAAUGGGUAAAGAAGCACCGGCUAACUACGUG